rnacentral:rRNA from 1 species
UACGUAGGGGGCAAGCGUUGUCCGGAAUCAUUGGGCGUAAAGAGUGUGUAGGCGGUUCAGUAAGUCUGCUGUGAAAGUCCAGGGCUCAACCCUGGGAUGCCGGUGGAUACUGCUGGGCUAGAGUACGGAAGAGGCGAGUGGAAUUCCCGGUGUAGCGGUGAAAUGCGCAGAUAUCGGGAGGAACACCUAUUGCGAAGGCAGCUCGCUGGGACGUUACUGACGCUGAGACGCGAAAGCGUGGGGAGCAAACAGG